CAUGGACAUGGACAAGUGGUGCCGGGGUUUGAACCGUCGAUCCUCCUGAUUGAAGGGCAACCGAGCCCACGUAGAGGAUGACGUACCUGGCACAGAACACCGGAGGACCUUUUUGAGCUGAUGCUUCCCGCCAUCACCAUGGAAACGGAGGCCAGUCAUAUGCUGGAGGCUGCACUGGAGCAGAUGGACGACAUCAUCGCAGGUUCCAAAGCGGCGGAGUUUUCCAGCAGCGCGUAUGAGCCGCCCUCCCCACUCGGCGCGGCUCCUCUGCAGGUCGUGCAGUUGGCCGAGGACUGAGAGUCGCCCUGGAGCUCCGACCCGACCGGGACGAGAGAGCCGGCCUCAGAGCUCAGCUACCUCGGGCGACGGCACAGAUCCUCGUAGACUGGCUGCAGAGUGGAACUGUGAGUACCAAGUGAACUUCCACCUUGGGUUGUCACGAUACCAAAAUUAUGACUUCGAUACUACACCUGCCGAAAUAUUACG
ensembl:lncRNA